rnacentral:rRNA from 1 species
UGAACGCUAGCUACAGGCUUAACACAUGCAAGUCGAGGGGCAGCAUGGUCUUAGCUUGCUAAGGCCGAUGGCGACCGGCGCACGGGUGAGUAACACGUAUCCAACCUGCCGUCUACUCUUGGACAGCCUUCUGAAAGGAAGAUUAAUACAAGAUGGCAUCAUGAGUCCGCAUGUUCACAUGAUUAAAGGUAUUCCGGUAGACGAUGGGGAUGCGUUCCAUUAGAUAGUAGGCGGGGUAACGGCCCACCUAGUCUUCGAUGGAUAGGGGGUUCUGAGAGGAAGGUCCCCCACAUUGGAACUGAGACACGGUCCAAACUCCUACGGGAGGCAGCAGUGAGGAAUAUUGGUCAAUGGACGAGAGUCUGAACCAGCCAAGUAGCGUGAAGGAUGAAGGUCCUACGGAUUGUAAACUUCUUUUAUAAGGGAAUAAACCCUCCCACGUGUGGGAGCUUGUAUGUACCUUAUGAAUAAGCAUCGGCUAACUCCGUG